CGCUCCUUGAUUUCAACCGCAAUAUGGACUUUGGUGAGAGAAAAAACUUUUAAUAUGAAAUUAUCACAAUAUAUUACUUUUAUUAAAAUUACCUUUAAGUAGUUAAAUGACUGUUUCUUAUGGUUUAAUAGGAAUUUAAUAGGAAUCACUCAUCUUUCAGCUUAAUUAAUGAUCAGAAUGUUUCAUUGUUGAAACUGUGACAGACUGUGAUGCUGUGACAGACGAAAGUGUGCUAUAUCAUCCAUUUCAAACCUCGUCUCUCUCCUUCCCUUUCUGACCUGGACCUGGAUGCUUCAGUGCCCUGACUACAGCUAAACAGCAGAAUAGUUUAAUAAUGAGGAAAACUGACCAAAGUGGCAGGACAGUAUAAAUAAAGAUGUUAUUGACAUUUAAGGGAAUGAACAUACAGAUUAUACAAUAGCCAAGAACUCCCAUCCAUGCAGCAGCAGAACAUGCCAGCCUGUAUCUCAGGGGCUUGUACUUCAGGAAAGUGACAGGAUGGACCACCGCCAUGUAACGCUCCACACAGAUCAAACAGAGAAACAGAGGACGGGCGCAGAUAAAUACUCCCCCCCAUAAAAACUACUAAUGGUGUAAAUUCUAAACAGACAAAACUAAGAACAUAGAAUAAACAGCGUAUGCAGAUGAACAUCUCGUUAACAGUCAGAUUGAGGCCGAAAAACUCAGACACAACCGCACUUCCUUUUCUCAUCAAAAUAAGCCACAAGACGUAGGAAUUGAUAGGUAAACCCACAAUUAAAUUGAUUGCAUAACCUGGAAUGUACAUAGGGUCUGUAUAUCCUGCCCAAGGAUUCCUGCUUGUAGCAUUUCUAAACAGGUUUGAGAUGGGUGUGCUGGAAAGCCCAUCAGAGACGUUCAUCUUCAGAGUGCACACCCCUUCUCACGAUAAAAUAUGAAAUCUGAAAUAAAUUACACAAAGAAAAUUAUAUAAGGGCCAAAUAUAAUGAAACAAACAGUCUGUUUUCUUUAUCAGAACAAAUUCAUUGUAUAGUGUUUUUUUGUGCAUAGAUCUAGAUCAACAUAGAUCUAACGUGUUCAGUUGAUAUAGUCAUGAUAAAUAUCAUAACUACCAUAGUAAACCAUAG